CCUGUUAUUCGGAUAACCGAGAGCUGUGACGAUCCGCGCAUUGUUCUCUCUUUCACCUCUCAUCAGCAGCUAUGCCCUCCCUUCUAUUUAAACGCGUAGGUUUCUGGUGUUGAGAUCCAAGCUAACACUCCAUAUCUAACAUUCCACAUUCAGUACACUCCUGGAGUGUUAGAUAUGGAUAGAAGACAGGCAACCACGUGCAUCCUCUUACUAAUCGUGUUACUUGGUAAUUUUGCUUCCGCAGCAGACGACGACUAUUGCUGGGAAGAAUACAAUGAGAGCGCAUUAUGCUUUGGUUUCGUCUGCAAGGCAGAGUGCUGGCUGAACGCGAAACUGGAAUAUGCGGGCACAAAACCAAGUGUCAAGGGAUACAAGUGUACGGGAUCAAAACUGAAACACCGUUGUCACUGCUAUUAUUGUGUACCGUGGUCCAACUAGAAAGAUAAUCUCACGUUCUUUGUUUCUUCAAUCUUAGCAUCAUGUUUACCAGUAUGUAUCACCGUGAACGGUGUAUUUAGUUCUGUCUCGGUAGGUAUAAUCAAUAGAAGUUAGUAGUUCAUCCGUUAUUACUCUAUAUAUUUGCCAGUUGUCCUUUUGUGCUUCGGUGCUACCACUAAUAAUUUAGUUUUGCUUUGACUAAUAUAUAUACAAUGGGAUUGUCGUUC